UACGUAGGUCCCGAGCGUUGUCCGGAUUUAUUGGACGUAAAGCGAGCGCAGGUGGUUUAUUAAGUCUGGUGUAAAAGGCAGUGGCUCGACCAUUGUAUGCAUUGGAAACUGGUAGACUUGAGUGCAGGAGAGGAGAGUGGAAUUCCAUGUGUAGCGGUGAAAUGCGUAGAUAUAUGGAGGAACACCGGUGGCGAAAGCGGCUCUCUGGCCUGUAACUGACACUGAGGCUCGAAAGCGUGGGGAGCAAACAGG
rnacentral:rRNA from 1 species